rnacentral:rRNA from 1 species
AGCAGCCGCGGUAAUUCCAGCUCCAAUAGCGUAUAUUAAAGUUGUUGCAGUUAAAAAGCUCGUAGUUGAAUUUCGGGGUCAGUAGGUUGGUCAUGCCUCCGGUAUGUACUGGUCUCACUGAUUCCUCCUUCCUGAUGAGCCGUAAUGCCAUUAAUUUGGUGUUGCGGGGAAUCUGGACUGUUACUUUGAAAAAUUAGAGUGUUUAAAGCAAGCUAACGCUUGAAUACAUUAGCAUGGAAUAAUGGAAUAGGACGUUCGAUCCUAUUUUGUUGGUUUCUAGGGUUGACGUAAUGAUUAAUAGGGAUAGUUGGGGCAUUAGUAUUCAAUUGUCAGAGGUGAAAUCUUG